GGAAUUUUGGACAAUGGCCGAAAGGCUGACCCAGCGACGCCGCGUGCGGGAGGACGCUUUUCGGAGUGUAAACCGCUGUCAGAGGGGAAGAAACCUCCAGGUGGGAAUACUGCCUGGAAUUGACGGUACCCUCAAAGGAAGCACCGGCUAACUCUGUGCCAGCAGCCGCGGUAAUACAGAGGGUGCAAGCGUUGUUCGGAAUCACUGGGCGUAAAGCGCGCGCAGGCGGGACUGCAAGUCGGGAGUGAAAUUCCGGGGCUCAACUCCGGACCGGCUACCGAAACUGCAGACCUGGGGACCGGUAGAGGCUGGUGGAAUUCCCGGUGUAGCGGUGGAAUGCGUAGAUAUCGGGAAGAACACCCGUGGCGAAGGCGGCCAGCUGGGCCGGGUCCGACGCUGAGGCGCGAAAGCGUGGGGAGCAAA
rnacentral:rRNA from 1 species